rnacentral:siRNA from 1 species
CCAAACUUAGUCUUUGUUUGCC